GUCAAAUAAUACUGAAUUUUGAGGUAAUUUCUCUUUCAUUCACAAAUAAUGUAGUGUUUUGACAAACAAAUGCUGCCUGAUACUGUGGUAGUUACUACUGUGGUGUCUGUUAUUGUGUUAGGUUGAGGAGGUUGACCUCCCCCAGACAUUAAUUUGUCUUGUAUUUAAUCUCUGUCUCUGUAGUAAAUGCCAGGGAAGUGUCUUUGUCUCAGGCAUGCCAGCACCACCACAUCCAUGCCCUCAGCCAAUGCCAGAGGAGAGUGAUCUGGGCUAUGAUGUGUGCUGCAAGAGCAGAAGUGUUGUUAAAAAAAUGCAAACCCCUCCACUUGCCAAGAUGCAUAUGUACUUAGCUAUUUACAGCUUUAAAUGAGAAAAUAAGCCUUCUUAGAAUUCUGAAAAUGUUGAAUUUGUUUUUCCCAGCUGGAGAGUGGUGUUUGCUUCAUUUUACAAAUAUGUCUAUGUCAGAAUGUUCUUCAGCAUUUUGCCAGGAGUCUGUGCUGCACGCUAUGGAGUUCAAUGGAAGGAAAGGGGAUUGACUGACUCUCCCUUUGGCAACCGCUUCAUCCACCUGAUGAUUGAAACAGACCUGGUGAUUUUAGGACAUGAUUAUUCCUGUGGAGAUAAAAGAAGAACAGAUGAUUAAACAGUGAAUCCUAAGAUUUCUCCAUUCUUCUUUUUUGUGUAUUCCUAACAGUUGCACACGAAAGGUGACCUUCCUUCUGAAAUUUUUCUGCAUCAUAUGCCUAGGACUGCUGUUUGGUUCAUAUGAGUUCAGACGACCAUCGUGCACAGAGAAAAUGACAACUUGUUCCAAAAUUUCAGUGCUGGGGAUUUCAGUUUUCUGGUUAGAUUAUUAUUUUUUUUUUUUCCCCAGUAAAAAUGGAAUACAGAAAACCAGGACAUAUUAAAGAAAUGGAAUUUCUUUC